UCUCUACAAUAGAGUUCAUAUGAUAUGAAAGCAGGAUAAUCUCCUGUAGUGUUUACAGUAAAAAUGUGUAGUUUUUUCAAGUUUUCUCCUGUACUCUGCCAUAGACACUAUAAAUUCAGCUGUUUCUCCCUGUGAUCAACAGAACACGCUUUAAAUGAUAACAUGGAUAACGCUUCAUUUUCUGGUUUUAGGCCCUGUUCAAGGCUGGAGAGCAGAAGUUUGGCACUGAUGAACAAUCUUUUGUUACCAUCCUGGGUAACCGGAGUUCAGAACACCUCAGGAAAGUAUUCGGCGCUUACAUGAAGCUGUCUGGAUAUGAGAUGGAGGAGAGUAUCAAGAGAGAAACAUGUGGAAACCUGAAGGACCUCCUCCUUGCCGUUGGUAUGUGCUCUAGAUGACUCCCUGAAGUUAUUCUUUUGUUGGUUUGCCCCCCCCCCGUAUGCUGUUUUUUUUGUUUUUGUUUUUUACAUAUGUAUUGACCUCUCAUGACCACAAGAGGGAGUCAGAGGAGUUUUGUUAGAGAUGAGGUAAGCUGCUGAGCUCUGACCCUCUGUAGGCGUCUUCUUCAGCUGAUAGAUGGGGAAGUCACUCACUACUCAGUGUUCAUCUUCAACGUCACAGAAGAGCUGCAUGUUUUUAUUCCCGGGCUGUACUGAAACAGCUUUGCAUGAUUUACAAUUCUAAGUAAUUCAAAAUAAAAUAUUUAUUUUAAAUUGGGCCUUGGUGCAGCCCUUCUGUUCUUCCUCUGUCUGGGACAAGCUGGUUUGACUCCUCUUCCUUUAAGGCUGUCUUCCCUUUAAGCCAAGGGUGUCAAACUCAUUUUCCAUUGUACAUAUAUAUAUAUAUCACUUACAAAAAAGGCUAUUACAUAUAAGAGGCAAAUAUGUUCUUUAUCUACUCAAUUUAUCUUAAAAUUGAAAUUACUUACAGAUUCAGAUUUUACAUAUAAAAAAACACAGAACACUUAAACUCUUACCUGCAAUGGAGCGUUUUAUGUUAUUGCAUCAUUACUAAAGAAAAAGGUCAGAUUAAACCUCUACUGCAUGUAUAUCAUAUAUAUCAUCUACUGGUGAUGAGGCGUAAUGAAAAGCUUUACUGCAUUCAUUGUACCAAACGAUCUGGAUGGAUGUUCACUGUAAACUUUACUAUUGACCUUCAACUAAGUCAAUAGCUGCGUACUAAUGAUAAAAGUGAGAGGAAUGUGCUUUUCACGCCUCAGUGCAUGUGUGUGAUAAAGGAGGGAAUAUCUCAGGUCUUGUUAUGAUACUCUCAUUGUUUUCAUGGAAGAGGUUGGCGUUUGUUGCCACAGAAACCGGGAGCCAAUAAUGAGGUCCAAACAGCUGGGUGUGGGGUCAGACCACCUCGAGUCACUGGAAGAACAAUAUCUUUGACUCCUCCUACCCGGUUGCCUUGUGUGUCUUUGGGUGUGGGAGACUAUGAGCGGGCAUGUGAACAGUCACCUUUUCAGAUUUUGUCUUGGGUAUUUGGCUGAGCGUUGAGCUGUGCUUUGAUAUUUUUCCCUUCUGACAUGCAGUCCCUCCCCCUGCUCCACACACUGACCAAGGCUCUGUGAACUACAAAAGAAUCUGAUGGGAAGUUUGUUUAAGAAAGAGGAUUAGACGCUGGUUAAUGUGUCCAGAGAAAGAAGCAAAUCAAUGAAAGAUAAAUGGCUUUGUGACAAACGUUGUGCAGCCUAAUUGUGUCUGUGACUGUCUACGCUUCAAGAGGAAAAAGAUGGCUCAUUUAUAAUGUAAAAUGCUAACAAUGUCAUACGGUACUGCCUGGUGUAGUUACACUAAUGAAAAGCCCAUCAACUGGGAUAAAGCUGGAAUAGGCAGCAAAGGUAAUUGGAGAAAUAUAAGAAAUAAAUUAAAUUGUUUCCUCCCUUGAGAUGCUUUACUGAAACCUCCCUCAGUUGCUGUUUAUUUGUGCAUUAGUAUUCA
rnacentral:lncRNA from 1 species